rnacentral:rRNA from 1 species
AGAGUUUGAUCAUGGCUCAGAGCGAACGCUGGCGGCAGGCCUAACACAUGCAAGUCGAGCGGCCGUAGCAAUACGGCAGCGGCAGACGGGAGAGUAACACGUGGGAACGCGCCCUUCGGUUCGGGAUAACCCAGGGAAACUUGGGCUAAUACCGGAUACGCCCUUACGGGGAAAGAUUUAUUGCCGAAGGAACGGCCCGCGUCCGAUUAGCUAGUUGGUGAGGUAACGGCUCACCAAGGCGACGAUCGGUAGCUGGUCUGAGAGGAUGACCAGCCUCACUGGGACUGAGACACGGCCCAGACUCCUACGGGAGGCAGCAGUGGGGAAUAUUGGACAAUGGGCGCAAGCCUGAUCCAGCCAUGCCGCGUGGGUGAUGAAGGCCCUAGGGUUGUAAAGCCCUUUCAGCGGGGAAGAUAAUGACGGUACCCGCAGAAGAAGCCCCGGCUAACUUCGUGCCAGCAGCCGCGGUA